rnacentral:rRNA from 1 species
AAUAGAUACCCGGGUAGUCCACGCCGUAAACGAUGAGUGCUAAGUGUUAGAGGGUUUCCGCCCUUUAGUGCUGCAGCUAACGCAUUAAGCACUCCGCCUGGGGAGUACGGUCGCAAGACUGAAACUCAAAGGAAUUGACGGGGGCCCGCACAAGCGGUGGAGCAUGUGGUUUAAUUCGAAGCAACGCGAAGAACCUUACCAGGUCUUGACAUCCUCUGACAACUCUAGAGAUAGAGCGUUCCCCUUCGGGGGACAGAGUGACAGGUGGUGCAUGGUUGUCGUCAGCUCGUGUCGUGAGAUGUUGGGUUAAGUCCCGCAACGAGCGCAACCCUUGAUCUUAGUUGCCAGCAUUCAGUUGGGCACUCUAAGGUGACUGCCGGUGACAAACCGGAGGAAGGUGGGGAUGACGUCAAAUCAUUAUGCCCCUUAUGACCUGGGCUACACACGUGCUACAAUGGAUGGUACAAAGGGCUGCAAGACCGCGAGGUCAAGCCAAUCCCAUAAAACCAUUCUCAGUUCGGAUUGUAGG